CGGGCAGGACCGAAGGUGAGAGUUUGUCAACGUUGCUAGCCAACACUGAGGAACUUCCUGUACUGUGGAACGUGAAUCAAAUCCCUGGGGAACCAAGAAUAACAACAGCUGCUGCACCUUGCCCCGCAGCCAUAACUCGUGUGCCUCCGGGAAGCUGAGGAGCCGAGCUGAGGAGCCCAGGUCAUUUGAGGCCUACUUUCUGCUGCUUUUGGUCGACAAGACUAACUGGCCCUUCGAGGGAGAGAGAGAGAGAGGCGUAACACCCUCGCCCACCACCACCCAUGCUGCCUCUCACCCGUGCGGCGUUCCCGCAGAGGCCAGCCCUGUGUCCUCGCUCCAUCAGCCUGGAGAGCAAGAGGAGGGACACACAGGCCAGUGUGUUUAUGACUGUAGUGCGGUACGUUUCAGCGAAUGGAGCAAAGAUGAACCUUGCUAUUAUGCUCGUUAAAGAGGAC
ensembl:lncRNA